CGGGGUGCACCAGGCGCGAAAACUUUACAAUGCCGGCAACGGCGAUAAGGGAACCUCGAGUGCCAGGUUACAAAUCUGGCUGUCGUGAUGCCUAAAAAGCAUUGCAUAGCAAGGGCCGGGCAAGACCGGUGCCAGCCGCCGCGGUAACACCGGCGGCUCGAGUGGUAACCGUUAUUAUUGGGUCUAAAGGGUCUGUAGCCGGCCGGGUAAGUCUCUUGGGAAAUCUGGCAGCUUAACUGUCAGGCUUUCAGGAGAUACUGCCUGGCUCGAGGCCGGGAGAGGUGAGUGGUACUUCAGGGGUAGGGGUGAAAUCUUGUAAUCCUUGAAGGACCACCAGUGGCGAAGGCGUCUCACCAGAACGGACCUGACGGCAAGGGACGAAAGCUAGGGGCACGAACCGGAUUAGAUACCCGGGUAGUCCUAGCCGUAAACGAUACUCGCUAGGUGUCGGCCACGGUGCGACCGUGGUCGGUGCCGUAGGGAAGCCGUGAAGCGAGCCACCUGGGAAGUACGGCCGCAAGGCUGAAACUUAAAGGAAUUGGCGGGGGAGCAC
rnacentral:rRNA from 1 species